rnacentral:precursor_RNA from 1 species
GUACAAAAAUAAUACGUCGUUUGGGAGCUUUACCAGGUUUAACUAGUAAAACGUUCAAGUUGAAAUCCAGUUAUAUUGAUAGAUCAGCACYUAAUAAGAAAAUUUCUCAGUAUCGUGUUCGAUUGGAAGAGAAACAAAAAUUACGUUUUCAUUAUGGGCUCACAGAAAGACAGUUACUUAAAUAUGUUCGUAUUGCCAGAAGAACGAAAGGUUCCACAGGGCUUUUAUUAUUACAAUUAUUAGAGAUGCGUUUGGAUAAUAUCAUUUUCCGGUUGGGUAUGGUUCCGACGAUUCCCGCGGCAAGACAAUUAGUUAAUCACGGGCAUAUYUCAAUAAAUAAAGAUAUUGUCGAUAUUCCAAGUUAUAAUUGUGAACUCGGUGAUAUUAUUACGAUAAAAAAUCAAGAAAGAUAUCGAUCAAUCAUUAUGGAAAGGCUUAAUUCACUACAGAAACCAGGAAUACCAAAUCAUUUAGUUUUUGAUUCAACAAAAUUUAUUGGAUCGGUAAAUCGAAUGAUUAAUCGUGAAUGGAUUGAUUUGAAAAUUAACGAAUUGCUGGUUGUUGAAUAUUAUUCCCGUCAAGUUUGA